rnacentral:rRNA from 1 species
UACGUAGGUGACAAGCGUUGUCCGGAUUUACUGGGCGUAAAGAGCGCGCAGGCGGUCGUCAAGUCGAGUGUGAAAGCCCCCGGCUCAACUGGGGAGGGUCAUUCGAUACUGAUCGACUCGAAGGCAGGAGAGGGUAGUGGAAUUCCCGGUGUAGUGGUGAAAUGCGUAGAUAUCGGGAGGAACACCAGUGGCGAAGGCGACUACCUGGCCUGUUCUUGACGCUGAGGCGCGGAAAGCUAGGGUAGCAAACGGG